GUUCUGAACCUUUGAUCUCCAGCAGCUUCAUUAUAGGACAGAUUGUUAUUUCUGUUCUGUUGAUAAGAAAACUAAGGCAUGGGAAAGUAAUUGUCUAGAGGAGUAAUGGGGUAGUGAUUUUGAAGUCCUGAAUUUCAGCUUCCACAGACCUGGAGUUUUCCUGCCUUCUUUUCUAUUUCUUCCCCACAGUAAGUCUCUUGAAACCUAGAUGGCUGCCUUCCCCUUCACCACCCAUGUGCACCUUUGAAGUUGCCUUAUGAUCUGCUUGCAAGGUUCUCCCCAAACAUUCCUCUGAGCACAGGGCUGUGAUUACCAGCAGGACAUGUCUAGAUUCCUUAACCUAGCUUAAUGGGAGCCCAGCUAAUCUCUUCCUGAAAACAGUACUUGCUCUCUGGAUUUCCUUGCUCUUGUACUUUGGACCUUAUUCUCCCCUUCCUACUGGGAAGUUCUCCAUGUUACUUCUCACCAGUCCUAGGCCCAGGUCUUAGAGUCCCAUUGGCUCUCACUGUCUUCAAAGUAUCUGCUGACCACCUGACCAAACAUUAUUGUCUAGGGUAAUUAGUUGUGCAGUUCAUUUGGCAGUGAAUCUUAUGGUACCAUUCAUACUUGACAAACUGAACUUUUCACUCUUGAUCCGUUAAGUUUUCAAAAUUUAGGUGAAUAUGCUGUCUGUCCAAAAACAUUUUAAGAUUGAUAGUAGGGACUCUAUAAUGCCCAAUAAGUUGUUGAUAGUUUAAUAAUAAUUUUAAGUGAUAAAUGUGAACUAAAUUUAUGGGAUUCUCAAGACAUUGGAAAUUCAGAAUAAAAUGUCACAAGCAAAAUGAAAGACCAAUUCCACACGACUCCUGUUCUCCCAGACUUCCUUGUUCUGCCUCAUCCAGUCAAUGUCCAAAGCAUACUGUGUGUAGUUGGACAGAGUAUUUUCUCAUGCUGUGAUUAAACAUGAAUAAUCCUUGCCAGUGGGAUGUUCCUGUCCUUAAUGUUUUAACCACAUGUUCUCUCUUCUCUUUGUGGUAAAGAUAAUCUAAUAGCUGCUUCAUCAUUACAAUUUUUUUUAAAUUUUUUAUUGUUGGUUGUUCAAAACAUUACAUAGUUCUUGACAUAUCAUAUUUCACACUUUGAUUCAAGUGGGUUAUGAACUCCCAUUUUUACCCCG
rnacentral:lncRNA from 1 species